CUUGGUCAUUUAGAGGAAGUAAAAGUCGUAACAAGGUUUCCGUAGGUGAACCUGCGGAAGGAUCAUUACAGAGAACAUGCCCUUUAGGGGGUAUAUCUCCCACCCUUUGUUUACAAUACCUUUGUUGCUUUGGUGGGCCCGUCUUUUAGACCACCGGCCUUGGCUGGUCUGUGCCCACCAGAGGACCAAACAAUUCCUUUUAUUAUGUUGUCUGAGUCUAAAUAAUUUUUAUAAAACUUUCAACAACGGAUCUCUUGGUUCUGGCAUCGAUGAAGAACGCAGCGAAAUGCGAUAAGUAAUGUGAAUUGCAGAAUUCAGUGAAUCAUCGAAUCUUUGAACGCACAUUGCACCCUUGAGUAUUCUCAGGGGUAUGCCUGUUCGAGCGUCAUUAUGACCAAUCAAGCUCUGCUUGGCUUUGGGGCCCGCUGUACCGGCGGCCCUUAAAAUCAGUGGCGGUGCCGUCUGGCUCUAAGCGUAGUAAUACUUUUCGCUAUAGGGUUUAGUCGUUCACCCGCCAGAACCCCCCAACUUUCUUAGGUUGACCUCGGAUCAGGUAGGGAUACCCGCUGAACUUAAGCAUAUCAAUAAGCGGAGGA
rnacentral:sRNA from 1 species